rnacentral:rRNA from 1 species
UGGGGAAUUUUCCGCAAUGGGCGAAAGCCUGACGGAGCAAUACCGCGUGAGGGAGGAAGGCUUUUGGGUUGUAAACCUCUUUUCUUAGGGAAGAAGAAAGUGACGGUACCUAAGGAAUCAGCAUCGGCUAACUCCGUGCCAGCAGCCGCGGUAAUACGGAGGAUGCAAGCGUUAUCCGGAAUUAUUGGGCGUAAAGCGUCCGCAGGUGGUGCCUCAAGUCUGCUGUCAAAGACCGAAGCUCAACUUCGGGCAGGCAGUGGAAACUGAAGCACUAGAGUACGGUAGGGGUAGAGGGAAUUUCCAGUGUAGCGGUGAAAUGCGUAGAGAUUGGAAAGAACACCAGUGGCGAAGGCGCUCUACUGGACCGUAACUGACACUCAGGGACGAAAGCUAGGGGAGCGAAAGGGAUUAGAUACCCCCGUAGUCC